GUCUAUGGCCAUGCCAUCCUGAACAAGCCUGAUCCCAUCUGAUCUUGAAAGCUAAGCAGGGUCGGGCCUGGUUGGUACUUGUAUGGGAGACCACCUAAGAAAACCAAGUGCUGUAGGCG
rnacentral:rRNA from 1 species